rnacentral:rRNA from 1 species
UAAUACAUGCAAGUCGAACGGUAAGGCGUCCUUCGGGAGUACACGAGUGGCGCACGGGUGCGUUACGCGUAUGCAACCUACCUUUCAGCGGGGGAUAUCCUGGGGAAACUCAGAGCAAUACCCCAUAUGCACACACUGUAGCAUUACAGAGUGUGGAAAACUCCGGUGCUGAGAGAUGGGCAUGCGUGACAUUAGCUAGUUGGUGGGGUAGCGGCUCACCAAGGCUACGAUGUCUAGCUGGUCUGAGAGGAUGAUCAGCCACACUGGAACUGAGACACGGUCCAGACUCCUACGGGAGGCAGCAGUAGGGAAUAUUGGACAAUGGGCGAAAGCCUGAUCCAGCCAUGCCGCGUGGAGGAAGACGGCCCUCUGGGUUGUAAACUCCUUUUAGCAGGGGAUAAACCUGUGCUAUAUGCACAGCUGAAGGUACCUGCAGAAUAAGCACCGGCUAACUCCGUG